rnacentral:lncRNA from 1 species
GUUCGGGACAGACUGCUGGCAUUUAUUUAUUUUUUCUUUUUAUUGAGUUUAUUGGUACAAUCUAGGUAUACAAUACAGUUACAUUCAUUACUGGGAUCCUGUACCUUCACAUGGCACGUCUUGGUUCUCAUUUUUCCCCCUUGUCCCUGCCCUCCCUUCACCCCCUCCUCCCCUCCCCAUUUACAAACACUUUAUUUCCAUUUUUCAUUUUCUCAUAUUUUUUUCUUUUCCCUUUCCCCUACCCUUUCCACUUUCCCUACACCUUUAGCCCUUUUCUUCCUAUUUCACACUAUUAAUUAUCCCAUUAGGAUCUUGUGUAAUAUUAUAGUUUUUCACACCAGAGAUGCUGGCAUUUAUUUUAAAACUAGGAUUUAUGACAUCUUGUCAUCGAGGAAAAGUGCAGGGACCACACAGCUGCACAAACCCAGCCUCUGAGGAGGGCGCAUCUCCGGCUUUGGCCAGGCAGCACAGCGAAGGCUGCUGCGCAACCGCAGAGCGAGGAGGGGCCCAGGACAGCUGCCGCCCAGAGUUGAGGGCCGGCAGUUCCUGCGCACGCGCAGAGCGAGGAACCUGAGCGCUCGACUGCCUAGACAGCAGAGGAACUAGGGCUUGAAGAGAACGGGGAGGCGGGGAACGUCUGCGCAGUCAAAAGCAACUCUGGGAAGGGGGCGGAUGACCUGGGGGGCCUUGGCAGCUCCCUGGGCCACGCCAUCAAAACUUACACCUUCAGCCUGCAGUGUCCUUGGUGGAGUCCCACAAGUCGAGACACCACCUUCGACUCUGCUGCUGCUGCUGAUCUUUGAUGAGAACACACGGUAUUUGGUUCCUGGUGGGGCUAAGGCAGUGAGUGGGACAGCACUGAGGCCUAGAGAUUGGGCCAAGGCCUGGUGCCAGUGCAUGACCUCAGCUCACAGAGGAAGGUGCUGCCCAGGCUCCUCCAGGAGGGAAAAGGUGCGAUAGGACCCUUUGGGUGUGGUUCCCAUAGCAACCCUCCUAGUGCUGAGCUUGGUUCCCACUGGCUAUGGAGUGAGUGAAUAAAUGAACAAAUGAGUGAUGUUGAUUGCAGCUGCUCCCCCCUCAACC